rnacentral:lncRNA from 1 species
AGAAGUCCGAGUCUGAUGUCAGGAGAUGUAACCAAAGAAAAUAAACAAAAUGACAAUAAUACAUAAAUAACAACAGACUACUAGCAGUUAACUGACAUGCCAGCUCCAGACUUCAAUUAAACUGACUGAAAGAUUAUGAUUUCAUCAUAUGAACAUCAGGCACAAUCCUUCCCGUUAGGGGUUUAGUAUCAUACCAUCAUAACAUAUAUGAGAAGAACAUAACCCGUGUCAUGCCAACG